UCCGGUUUGUCACCGGCAGUCUGGCGUGAGUCCCCAACUAAAUGCUGGCAACGUGCGACGGGGGUUGCGCUCGUUGCGGGACUUAACCCAACAUCUCACGACACGAGCUGACGACAGCCAUGCACCACCUGUACACCGACCUUGCGGGGCACCCAUCUCUGGGUGUUUCCGGCGUAUGUCAAGCCUUGGUAAGGUUCUUCGCGUUGCAUCGAAUUAAUCCGCAUGCUCCACCGCUUGUGCGGGCCCCCGCCAAUUCCUUUGAGUUUUAGCCUUGCGGCCGUACUCCCCAGGCGGGGCGCUUAAUGCGUUAGCUGCGGCACAGAGAACCGGAGAGGUCCCCCACACCUAGCGCCCAACGUUUACAGCGUGGACUAC
rnacentral:misc_RNA from 1 species